ACUCCUGCGGGAGGCAGCAGUGGGGAAUUUUGGACAAUGGGCGAAAGCCUGAUCCAGCCAUGCCGCGUGCAGGAUGAAGGCCUUCGGGUUGUAAACUGCUUUUGUACGGAACGAAACGGCCUUUUCUAAUAAAGAGGGCUAAUGACGGUACCGUAAGAAUAAGCACCGGCUAACUACGUGCCAGCAGCCGCGGUAAUACGUAGGGUGCAAGCGUUAAUCGGAAUUACUGGGCGUAAAGCGUGCGCAGGCGGUUAUGUAAGACAGUUGUGAAAUCCCCGGGCUCAACCUGGGAACUGCAUCUGUGACUGCAUAGCUAGAGUACGGUAGAGGGGGAUGGAAUUCCGCGUGUAGCAGUGAAAUGCGUAGAUAUGCGGAGGAACACCGAUGGCGAAGGCAAUCCCCUGGACCUGUACUGACGCUCAUGCACGAAAGCGUGGGGAGCAAACAGGAUUAGAAACCCUGGUAGUCCCA
rnacentral:rRNA from 1 species